rnacentral:rRNA from 1 species
CAGAACGAACGCUGGCGGCAGGCUUAACACAUGCAAGUCGAGCGCCUCGCAAGAGGAGCGGCAGACGGGUGAGUAACGCGUGGGAAUCUACCCAUCUCUACGGAACAACUCCGGGAAACUGGAGCUAAUACCGUAUACGUCCUUCGGGAGAAAGAUUUAUCGGAGAUGGAUGAGCCCGCGUUGGAUUAGCUAGUUGGUGGGGUAAUGGCCUACCAAGGCGACGAUCCAUAGCUGGUCUGAGAGGAUGAUCAGCCACAUUGGGACUGAGACACGGCCCAAACUCCUACGGGAGGCAGCAGUGGGGAAUAUUGGACAAUGGGCGAAAGCCUGAUCCAGCCAUGCCGCGUGAGUGAUGAAGGCCCUAGGGUUGUAAAGCUCUUUCAACGGUGAAGAUAAUGACGGUAACCGUAGAAGAAG